AAUAUUUCACAUGAAAAUGUGAAGAAACAGGAUACCAUCAGACUAUUUUUUGUGACCAAGGAACACGAAAAACGAACGCAAGCAUCUUCAUAAAGGUAACUACAUAAACCAGUCAAUGUCAACCCAAGACAGCAUCUUGGUAGAAAGAUAAUUCAGAAGAGUAGGCUAACGCAAGUAGUAUUUACAAGUUUUCUUCAGCGUUAUUUACACAGUACGGUCUCUCCGCUUGAAACUUCAGAAGGAUCCGAAGGUAUUCUCGCCACUGUAGGUCAUGUACAGGAAG
rnacentral:misc_RNA from 1 species